CGAGUUCUACUUAAAGCAGAUAAUAAACAUAACAACUAAAAAUCCCCAAACUAAAACAAAAUCCAAAGAGGCCUUAUUACAAAAUUUAAAACCCAAAUUAGAAUUUAAAAUAGAAUUAGAGUCCAAGUAAUCGUAUGGCCAUCUCCGAGUCCCUCGCAGCACCGAUUCACUAACACUGGGGAUUACCUAAAAAAAUAAAAGACGGGGUGAGUUUGGAAAACUCAAUGUGUAAAGUAUCCCAACCAGAGCCCAAAUCAGUUCAAGCUUUACUGGACCUAAGCCCUAUUCAGAAAUCAUAGUUAACUGGGCCUUAGCCCAUAUCAAUAUUAAUCUGGGCUAUAGCCCUAUUACAAGUUGAGAUAUAUUGGGCAUUGCCCAUAUUAACACAGUUGGGCCCAUUUCAAUACAAUUGGCCCAUAACAAAAUAGUCUCAUAGGAUUAAUGCAUGAUAACCCCAUCCAACCCUGCACUUGCCUCCGUCCAUCCCUACACUUCCUGUGGGGAAUAAAUCACCCACGCCAUCCCUACACUUACAGUCUUAGCACCAGUUGUGGCACUAACUAUAAUCCGCAGCGAAGCUGCUUAUAUCAGAAUAUGUGGCAAAGCCACCAGAACGGGUUCUUCCUCUAUAACAAAACCCAACCCCAUGUAGUAUGACAUGUAUGUAGAAUAUAUAUAAUUAAAAAGGCAUGCUUCAGAAAGACAGUCAAAUUAUAGCGUAAGAACAGUUAUUUACCCUCGAGGGGCGUAAUCGUAAACUUACCCCUUUAAGGGUAUUACGGUAAUUCUACCUUACAGAGGUAUUUCAGUAAUUUUAUCAGUCUUUUUAGGGUUUCAUGCUCAUUACAAUUAUUAACUUGUCUUCAGAAUACUUACUGGACGUUUUUACCGAAAUGGGCCUGUUGCCCAUUACCCAAUUUCGGCCCAUCGAAGCCCAAAUUCACCGAGGUGCACGAAAUUGCGCACUUUGCAAUCUUACCGUUGAAGAUACCAAAAUUAUCAAUACAAACAAUCCCACGAGCACUCACACGCUCGCAAGUUCUCGAAAUGCCAACUUUUCGGCAUUUCGGCUUUUCGGCUUUUGCCGAUCUAGUCUACUAGUGGGUGUCGUUUACACACCUGUUUUUCGAUGAAAUGAUGAUGAGUUCCACACACGAGCAGCCUUUAUCGAUCUCCAACUACCAGAUCUAGAUGCUCUAACAGUAUCAACCCUCUAUGCUUUUUGCUUGCUUGUCCUUAAAUCCACACUAAAUACAUAUGAAACCAAAAGAAGAGGCUAUUAAAGCCUUCAGUCUAAAACGACAGUCUCCCUAAGUGAUUAAGGACUUGUCGGCUUUUCAUAAUAAACCCGAAAUAACAAAUAGACAGAAAGAUCUGAUCACUUACCGAGGAUCUACUUGCCAGAAACGUUCCGAAGUACCUUCCUAUUCCAGAUUUGUUGUAGAUCAAAUACCCAAAAUACAAGGAGAGAACAGAUCUAAUGAUUCGGCUUUUAGAACCUAUUCUGAGGUAUGCUUAAUUCGGUUUAAGAAGAAAAUAGAAGAAUAACGAAGAAAAAGAAUAGAGGAUUAGGCUAAGGAGUAAAGUCAACUAUCACGUAGUGUGGUUCAGCUUUUCGAAGGGUAAUCGGUUAGCAAUAGUUUGAGAGAGAUCGGUGGAAGAAAAAGAAAAGAGAAAAAAUUUUAAGAAUAGAAAUAGAAGAUUUAGGCUUCGGCAAAGAAAAGAAAGAUGGAUCAAAAGGAAUGAAAGUUGAUAAAAUAAAAUAAAAAAUAUGAUAAGAGAAUUUAAGCUGAAAAAAAUAAACAAACAAUUCAUCCUAGCCAAAAUUUGAGAGCUAUUUCGGCAUCUAAUUGCCCAAAGUCGAAUGAGUUCUAUUUCGGCACCACCGUCCUUCCCAUAUUCAAAUUCC
rnacentral:lncRNA from 1 species